CGGACGGGUGAGUAACACGUGGAUAACCUACCUAUAAGACUGGGAUAACUUCGGGAAACCGGAGCAAUACCGGAUAAUAUAUGAACCGCAUGGUUCAAUGUGAAAGACGGUUUUGCUGUCACUUAUAGAUGGAUCCGCGCCGCAUUAGCUAGUUGGUAAGGUAACGGCUUACCAAGGCAACGAUGCGUAGCCGACCUGAGAGGGUGAUCGGCCACACUGGAACUGAGACACGGUCCAGACUCCUACGGGAGGCAGCAGCG
rnacentral:rRNA from 1 species